UAGGAGAGACUUGCAGGCGUUAAGACUGGGCUGAGUUUGUGGCACGCUUAGUGAUGGGAUGGCGCUGUGCAGGACACAGACACAAAAAGAUGAGUUCAAACCGUGCUGUCUGAACUCAGCGUAGUGGGCGAGAUUGACAGGAGGAUCGGUAGGGUGGGAGAUGCCGGGAAGUCUUCCUUGAGACUGGAUUAGAAAACAAAAAUCUGGCGAAAUUGGCGGCAGGAGGGAGUUAAGGACGUUCCAGGCAGAGGCAAGGUAAUUGACUCCAUCGAUGACUAUCUGAACAAGCUCCACCUUUGACAGUGAAGAAGAUGAAUUAUUAAUUUGAAUAGAAGACACUUGCAGGGCAUUGAUUAACAGCAACAAUACUGGGAUAAAUGAGAACUUGCCACUUAGAUGGACUUCACAACAAUUUCUUCCUUCUCAAAGAUGAAAGUUAUUUCCCAUGGAAGAAUAAUGUUACAGAAUGAAAAGCUAACAUAACUCAGGACUCGAUGGGUGAAAAGGAGGUCUCGAAUUCUGUGAAAACGGGAACUGCCUUCAGUUCCUUGUAACAGAAGAAUCCAAAAGGGUGGACCUGAAGGAGGAGGUCUGCAGGCAUUUGCCUCGGCAGAAAGGCUACUCUGUGGAGGGGAUGCAUGGUGGCUGCGUUCUGCUCCAGCCGACCACUCUGUGCUUCUGCACGGAGGAUGAGGACGCUGUUUGACAGACCAGGUGUGCUUUUGAACUUUGCCACUAGACCACAACUAGACCCUGAACAGGAUGGAUUUCUGGACUUCUGAAAGGUAGGAGAAAUUUCUGAGGACCACCUGUCUGCUCUGCUAAAGUUGGGAUGCCAGCAAUAGGGAUGGGGGCUGAGACUGGGAUUCCCUCAUUGGAGUAGGACCUUUGAAAGAGGUUGAAGUGGCACAAAGUCAGCAGACCCCAUCCUCUGACUCCCACCUGAAGCAGGCCUAAAAGCUCUCUGAGGAAAUUAUAUUCAGUUUAGGCCCUGGAUUCCUACAGAUUAAAAUGAAAGAACAAACCCCCAAAGAUUACCAAACACACAAAGAGGUGCAAUGAAUAAGAGUCAACAGAAGAAGUAACAGAUUUAGCCUGCUAGACUGAAGAUGCUUAGAACUGUCAAACAAUAAUACAAAUAAGCCCUAGAUUGAAUGUUUAAAGAACUAAGUGUGGAAUCAUAAUUAUGAGCAAGCAACAAGAGACUAUUAAGAAUGACCAAGCUGAUUUGAAAGAACUAAAUUAAACUAUACAUUAUGACACAGCUGAACAUAGAACAGAUGAACUGGAAGAUAUUAUCUUAAGAAAUUUCUCAGAAUAUAUCACAGAGAAGUGAGAAAAUGGAAAAUAGAUAUAAAUUAAGAGAUAUGAUGGAUAGAAUGUCAAGCUCAAAUACACAUCAAAUUGAAGUCCCAGAAAGACAGAAUAGAGAAAACAGAGAAGUCAAAUUUGAAGAGGAAUAACAGACAUUUUUAGAACUGAUAAAAGACAAAAAUCCAUGAUUCAAGAGAUAUAACAUCUAAGUAAACAAAAAAAUUGAUACCUAGACAAAUAAUAAUGAAACUGCAGAUUAUCGGUGACCAAGAUGUGAAAAGCAGUCAGAAAGAAAAGACACUUUACCUACAAAGAAAUGACAAACAUGAGCUGAUUUUUCAGUAAUGAGCCCAGGUAAAUAAUAUUUUUAGAACCAAUAACUAUUAACCUAGAACUGGGGGACUAGUCUAACCAUUUUUUCAAAAAUGAGAGUGAAAAAACAUACUGAUAAAAAACAGAUCAAUAACAAAGGAAUUACUAAACUAUAUGCUUGACAAAGGAAAUGACAGUAAAAGGAGAGCCUAAAAGGCAGAAAAUGGAGAAAGCACAUAUAAAUCUAAAUAAUAUUUAUAUACUUAUUUAUAAUACAAGUACUAAACUACCAACAAGUGAUGAAAAACAGGGUAAACAUGCACAGACAGAAGCCCUGCUGGGUCUGCUAGUGCCCCGAGAUUAGGUGGGCCAGUUAGCCCUACAGUAUUACCUAGCAGGAGCUAUGCGACAUGGCUCUUUGAGUAGAGAACAAAAGAUCAGGUACCUCUCAGUACUUACUCUCUGAUAUUCAUGAUGCCUAUAUAAAGAAUGUAUGGGCCAGCCACGGUGGCUCAUGCCUGUAAUCCCAGCACUGGGAGGCUGAGG